rnacentral:rRNA from 1 species
AACGUAGGAGACGAACGUUAUCCGGAAUUACUGGGCGUAAAGGGCUCGUAGGCGGCCAACUAAGUCAGACGUGAAAUCCCCCGGCUCAACCGGGGAAUGGCGCCUGAUACUGGCGGACUCGAGAUCGGUAGGGGUGAGUGGAACUCCAGGUGGAGCGGUGAAAUGCGUAGAUAUCUGGAGGAACACCGGUGGCGAAAGCGACUCACUGGACCGACACUGACGCUGAGGUGCGAAAGCUAGGGUAGCAAACGGG